rnacentral:ncRNA from 2 species
CUCCGAGCCGCAUUGCCUGUCGGGCCCCGUGUCCGUGGUGUGCGGCCGAUAGGGUGUGUCUGGAAACGGGCACGCCUCCCUUGUUUGGCAAGGAG